rnacentral:rRNA from 1 species
GCCAGGGAAAUACGAGCAAUGCUUGAAACCCAAAGGACUUGACGGUGUCCCACCCACCUAGAGGAGCCUGUUCUAGAAUCGAUGAUCCCCGAUACACCUCACCACUCUUAGCGUUUCAGUCUGUAUACUUCCGUCUUAAGCUUACCAUGUGAAUGCCGUCAGUAGGCCAAAUGAUUAACCAUCAAUAAGUCAGGUCAAGGUGCAACUAACGGAGUGGAAAGCAAUUGGCUACAAUUUCUAAAUUAGAACACACGAAAAUCAUGUGAAAUCAUGAUAUGAAGGCGGAUUUAGCAGUAAAAAGAAAAUAGAGAGUUCUUUUAAACCUGGCUCUGGGACGCGUACACACCGCCCGU